rnacentral:tRNA from 1 species
GGAGCCGUGGUGUAGUUGGUUAACAUAUCGGACUGUCACUCCGAAGAUCGCGGGUUCAAGUCCCGUCGGCUCCGCCA